UUACCUACGGGGGGCAGCAGUGGGGAAUAUUGCACAAUGGGGGAAACCCUGAUGCAGCGACGCCGCGUGAGUGAAGAAGUAAUUCGUUAUGUAAAGCUCUAUCAGCAGGGAAGAAAAUGACGGUACCUGAGUAAGAAGCCCCGGCUAACUACGUGCCAGCAGCCGCGGUAAUACGUAGGGGGCAAGCGUUAUCCGGAUUUACUGGGUGUAAAGGGAGCGUAGACGGCAGUGCAAGUCUGGAGUGAAAGGCGGGGGCU
rnacentral:rRNA from 1 species